rnacentral:lncRNA from 1 species
AUGAUCAGAGCCACACAUGGCGGGUCAACAAAGAGAGUUGUUUUGAGACUUGCCAGGAAACCUAAAUUGGCCAAACUGGAAUACAUGAAGCAAAACUCGUUUGUUAUGAACCAAAUGCUUCCGUUCUCCUCCAACUUGGGCGGAGCUCCCCGGGAGCAGCUCCUCCCUCUCCCCCAGACAUUCCCAAGGCUUUUGUCACUGAACGCCCCCCUCCCCCGCAGGGCAGGCGGUGUUUACUCCUCCUGGGGGGCCGGCCCCUCCUCGCCCUCCAGAGGCGCCCGUGGCCAUCUCAUCCCUUCUCCUCCAGGUGACAGAAGGCGGAAGCAACUCCGGGCGCCAUGGAGACACUCCAGAAGCGAACUGUGGUUCGAUCUACACGAGGUAGUUAGAGCAGACGAAAUUACAGAGACAGAAGAUGAACGGCAGCUGCCGGGUGCUGGAAAAGGGAGAAUGGAAGUUAUUACUUCACGGGGAAUGAAGUUGUAAGUUUAUACGAUAAACAGAGCUCUGGAGAUGGAUAUGGGCUUUGACGACGGUACCAUAACGUUAUGAAUAUAUAUAACAUCGCUAAACUGUAUGCUUAAAAACGGGUAAGAUGAAGCUGUAACUCCUGCCACUGGGAGGCUGAGGCAGGAGGAUUGUGAAUCUGAGGGCGGAACGGGCACACAGUGAGACUCUGUCACAAAAUUUUUAAAAAGACUGGGGAUGUAUCUCAGCACUGUCUGGGUUCAAGCUCCAGAAUCUUAAAAAUAAAGCACUGACAUUAGAUGUGGCUAAGGUAACUUCGUUUUUUGUUUGUUUGUUUUUCAUUUUUCUUCCGGUACCAGGAAUCAAACUCACGACAUUGCACUUGCCAGACAGGCGCUUUGCCGCUGAACUAAAUCCCCAGGCCCCAGCUAAGGUAACUUUGAAUGAGCCGGGGUGUAGCUCCGCGGAGGAGGGAGUACCCCGUGUUUGCUUGUAACCAUCCCGUGUUUGUGGCCUCUCUUCCGGCGGUGCGGGCGCAGCCAGGUCCUUAGGAAACGCGGCGAUCGCGAGGGGAGACCCGACAGGCCGACCUGCCCGCACGGACAGCGGCGGAGCGGCCCCGCAGGAGGACAAACCCAGGUCCCCGCCGCGUGCGCAAGCGAAAGUCCUGCUCCUGCCGGAGGACAGAUCUGCAGCCCGGGAGGAGGGACAGGCCGCCGGCUUCCGGGUGCGCCCAAGCGGCCUACAGGGAGCCGCGUGAAGGCGGAGCCAAACUGCAGGGAGGUAGAGGAGAGGGAGGAGCCCGGACCCAGCUGCCCUUGGGGUUUUCCUGCCCUGCCCUGCCCUGCCCUGCCCUGCCCUGCCCUGCCCUGCCCUGCCCUGCCCUUUCUUUUCCUUUGUUUGCUUUUGGUUUUGAUUUUCUAAAACAGGGUCUUGCUAUGGAGCUCAGGCUGGCCUUGAACUCGCAGCAAUCCUCCUGCCUCGGCCUCCCAAUUUUGUUUUUUAAAUAAAGAAUAUUUAAUUGACAAAUAAAUAUUGUCUGUAUACUCAGGGUGUUCAGCACGGU